rnacentral:lncRNA from 1 species
CGACGUGGUUGUCGACAUCUACUGUCUCUACUUCCUUUUCUAGAAUUUUAUUCGCUUCUGCUUCUGGGUGAAUUUGAUUUGGUUGGAACCGAAACGAAAGAGAUGGGAAUCAUGAUGGAUGGAUGGAUCGAGAUGUUUAUCCAUUCUCUUAUAGGUCGAACAUUGUUCGUAUUGUUGGUGAUAAGAGGAAUUUAAAUGCUUGGGAUUGCUGACUACAGCGGACCUUGGCUUUUCUGCAAAGGGAUCUUCUUGCCAAGAACGAGUUCUGAUGCUUUGAGUUAACUUUGGAUAGGUCGUUCGCUUUGGCGAUUGAUAGCAUGGCUAUUAAGACAGCAAGGAGUACUGUGGGUUGGCAACAAAAUUCAGCUGCUCACUAUAAAGCACCAACAAGCCGCAGAAGAGUUUGCACUUUCUGGUUAGCAGGGAAAUGCAACCGGAAUCCUUGUAGGUUUUCACACGAUGCAUCUCUUCCGGGCAAUGUUUACCAUCGAGCUGCAAAGCAGUCGAGUCAUAUGGCUGAGGAUUUCCCUGGGAGGAAGGGCCCUGAAUCUAGUCCAGUGAAUUCAGCAAGUUCGACUUCUGGAGAGAGAAGUGAAUCGUCAACAAACAAAAACCCUCUGAAGCCCCAAGAAAAACUAUGCAAUUUCUGGAUAACAGGCAACUGCGUGAAGGGCGAUGCAUGUCCUUUCUUGCAUUCGUGGUUUCACGGUGUUGAUUUUGCUAUGUUGGCAAAGCUUGAGGGCCAUAAAAAGGUACCAUUUAGAGAUUAGUUUUUGCCUUCUGUGUUCUCCAGACUAUAGCUGGAGAAAAUUUAGUUGCAACUCUAAUUUGUUUCCGUCCUUUUUCUAAUUAAGAUGUCGAAAUAUCAUUUGCCUGUCUGGCAUAAAAAUGGGUCUGGACUCACCUGAUGCUUUUUAUGACAGGGUGUUUCUGGGAUAGCACUUCCUUCCGGAUCUACUAAGCUCUACUCUGGAAGCAAAGACGGAACGGCUAGAAUCUGGGACUGUCACACUGGUCAAUGUGAUCAGGUGAUCAACCUUGGAGGAGAAGUUGGGUGUUUUACUUGUGAAGGUCCCUGGGUGUUUGUUGGCCUGCCUAAUACUGUUAAGGUGAGCGGUUAGCUGGGUCUACUUUGUCCUCCGUUAUUUUUUUUUCUUUUUAUGGGGGAAUUCUUGAAUUGGUGAACUGCUGAACUCUAAUUCAUUGCUUCUCUUGUAUUUCUUGGUAGGCAUAUAAUAUCCAGAAUGGUGCUAGCUACAAUAUCAGUGGACCAGUUGGACAGGUCCAUGCUCUGGAAGUUGCUAAUGACAUGCUUUUUGCUGGAGCCCAGGUAAUUUAUUAUUAGAAACAAUCUAAUUGAUUUAGAUGAUUCAUCUGCCGUAAUAUUGUCUAGUCCGUUUCUUUGGAAUCUCGUUCCUCUGUGAAUUAGCAACAUAAGUGAUAUAAAAGUUGAUGCUGAGUGUGAGGGUGGAUUUUUGGUUCAGACCUGAAAUUCUUGUUUUCUUCUUCUCUAUGUGGGGCCCACCUGAGUCAGCAUUCAUCUGAUCACUGACUGCCCCAUUUGUUGAUCCUUGUGAUGAAUUGCAUUGGCUUUCGAUGAUUAUGCUGAACAAACUUUCCUUCUAGGAUGGCACUAUCUUGGUGUGGAAAGGAGGUAGCGAGGCUGAUCCUUUUCAGAUGGCUGCGCCUCUCAGGGGUCACACGAAGGGCGUGGUAUCAUUAACUGUUGGGCGCGACCGGUUGUAUUCUGGUUCCAUUGACCAGACCAUAAGGGUAAGCUGGCCUAUCUUAGAUGUCUCGCCCCCUGAUUUAAUCUAGUUGUGUGUCCUGGGAAGGCAUUACUUGGCCAUUGGAGUUUAUGUUUUCUUUUGCAUCACCUCUAUCAGUUGCUACAUCCUCUCUGUAUCUUUCUGCCCCGCUCUGCUGUAAUAUUGUCUUGACCCCUCACGUCUUUCUUGUUUUCUUCUCCUCAGGUGUGGGACUUGCACACUCUGGAGUGUGUUCAGGAACUUGUUGGACACACUGAUGUGGUGAUGUCACUUCUUUGCUGGGACCAGUACCUGAUAUCCUGUUCGUUGGAUAAGACAAUUAAGGUCUGGGGGGUUGCCACUGAAGGAGGCAGCUUGGAAGUUGGCUUUACACAUCAUGAGGACCAUGUAUGUUGCUUGCUAAUUUUCUUCUUUUUUUCUCACUCGUGUGGAUUAGGGUAUUUCUUGGUUGAUGAUGGUACUGUAGGAAAAAGUCUAGAUUAUAUAUGGGCCUGUUUUACAAUCUAAGAUUGCAAAGACGCGCCUUAUUUCUUUUCAGUUUUAUUUCCGCAGCUAAAAAGACGCGCCUUAUUUCUUUUCAGUUUUAUUUCCGCAGCUAAAAUUAACUAUAUGAAUAAUGUGGACUGAAGCUUUGUAAUAUAGCCAUACUGUCAAGUACCUUCCAUGUGCUUGCUCUAUGUGGGGAAGACCUGGAUUUUCAUGUUACACCUGUUGGUGUUUUUCAGUUUCUCACUGUACUCCUAGUUUCAAGGAAGUGAUGUAGUAUCAUUUGUUGAUGUUGCAAGUAUCAUUUUGUCCUGCACAGGGUAUUCUUGCACUGUCAGGGACGAUUGAUACAGGUGGUAAGCCGGUCCUUCUGUGUGCAUGCCUUGACAACACCGUUCGGUUGUACGAGCUCCCAUCGUAAGUCCAAAUAAUUUCUCUAAUUGGUUUGACAUCCUGUCUCUCAGUGGGACUGUUCUGUUCUUUCUGCUUGGCUGACUUUGUGCAUCGUACGCCAGGUUCACCGAAAGGGGCAAGAUAUUCUCAAGACGAGAAGUUAGGACUCUUCAAACGGCUCCCGGAGGCCUAUUCUUCACGGGAGAUGCUGCGGGGACACUGACCGUUUGGAACUGGUUGGAUUCUCCAAAGAGCCAAAAAGAGCAGCUUCCUCAACCGAUGGAUUCAUGCUAAGUAGAAGACAGAAUCAAAGCUAUUGACAUUGGAGUUCAAAUUUCGCAAGGAAGACAAUGUCAUCUAUGCUACGAUGCAACUGGGAUUGUGAUUUAGAGCAAGAAACGGGACGGCUGUAGCUACUGUCUGCCCCGCAAUACCAGUUUUUGGGCUGUCUUUUUUGUACAGACAUUGAUUUUUUUGACAGCGACGGCUGGACUUGUAUAUGAUUCCUGAUUAGUAAUUGAAAUGCCUUUUGCUUGUCGAAUGGAAACCUUGUUUUGCCUUUUUGAGUUUACAGCGGAAUUCUGAUUAUCGUUUCCUCUGCACGUUUGUUUAUGUCUUAUUACUGAAAAGCGAAAUUAAAUAGAGGCGCUGAAAAUAAAUGAUGAAUAAACUUUACUUCAAAAUUGUUGCAUAUGCUUCUCACUCUGAUGAAAAGAAAUUCACAUCGCGCAGGCUGUCUACUGUAUGGUUAAAAAUUGUUGGAUGAGAAACUGAUUAAUGAACUUCAUAAGCUUGUGACACCCCAUGGACCUUUGAACGUGGAAGGAAAACUCAUACGUUACACGCUACAAUUCAAGUAAAUAAAUCUUAUAAAUUAAAGCUGAUGCACGGUAAGAAAAAAAAAACUGAUACACGCAAUUUCAUUAAAGCUUAUGAAACUAAUAAGAAGCUCCCUCUUCAAAGGCAUCAAUCCAUUAAACAAUUAUGAGAGUGUAUUAGCCCAGCAAAGCGAUUUCAGAGGAAUGCAGAAAUGUGAAAAUUUGUAAAAUUUACAUUAGGAAAAUUACUAGUUAACAUAUAUCGAUAAUGUACCUUUACAUGUAUGAUCGCGUCUGUGUUAGUAUCAUUUGGGGUUAUAGCCCAUUGAGGAUAGAACAAAUCAGACAAAAAAUUUAUAAACUGGACACAAGCGGCUUGAAAGUUUAAAUUAAACUAUUUACUGAAAUGCGUGUAUUAACAAAAAAUUAGAAAACAAGAUCUUAAUUAUAGCUUCUUCUUCACGAUUUUUUAAUUAUUUUCAGUUCAGAGUAUGUAGAUUUCCUUCGUAUUGUUUAAAGGUCAAUCUCGUUCAAUCCUUUGAAUUGCUAAAUUAAAACUCGAGAUCAUCUCUUUUGGUCCAGUCGCAUGAGAUUUUAGAUAGCUCACAAGUUUGUAUAUUAUAAAUGUAAUAUUCUUACUUUGGCUAAACACACCUGUCCAGAAAAUUUAUUUAGCCCAUCAAUUAAGCAUUUUGGUGAAUAAAUUGACCUUUUAUUGAGAAACAAUAGAAGUAUAAUUAAUCCUUCAUAAAGCAGUCUCACAAAGAAAAUUCUUGAAAUCCUUAAAACGAAUGCAUAUGCAAUUUCAAAAUAAAAAUGAAUACAAAAAAAACAAAAAUCAUUUUUGCAAACCAGCCUUUGAAAGAUCUAGGUAAACGACAUUAACUAAGGAUAGAGGUUUUUCUCUCUUUUUGGUGUCAAAUUUGAGCUUGAUGAUCUUGAAUAAUUACGUUCAACAUUUCUGAUUGAUCUUACUUCUACAGUGGCAAGAACACCACGUAAGAGACCAGUUGUCCGUGUGUUUUACAGUGACAAGUGCCAUUCCUUUACCUCCUCGUUUUCUAUAUAACCAAUUUACUUUUAAAAAAGAAAAAAGAAAAAAAGAUCCAUAGUCGUUGCUUAAUGUCUCUAUUCCCUUAACCAUUUCAAUAAAUCAAUCACCAGUUCUUAUUUAUAGGCUAGGAAUGAACCAAAUCUAGCCAAACAUUUUAAUAUGUAUCGUCAUGGUUAUCUUCAAAGGAAUGCACGCGGGUUAAGUCGUUCAAGUGCGUCUUUUAUUACCUAAAGACUCCAUCUUUGCAUAUUCUGUUGUACCAUGGAUUUCAAGCCUCAUUCAUAUUAACGUUGAAGGCAGGACAUAUUAACUUUUUUAUAUGUAUUAUCAUGAUCAUCUUCAAAGGAUUGCCACUGCAAUCCCAAAUUUAAUUACAUGCAUUAAUAUUAAAGUUGAACUUGUUUUAUCACGGUCAUAUCUAUGUCGGUUGCUUUUUUUUGUCCUACUAUUUGUUAAACACAAAAGAUGCUUUUAUAUUUGCAUCGUCGAAUUCACAUUGCAUCAACGUAGCCAUCACUAUCUCUAGCGGUAUGGGCAAUUAUUGCAUUCAUCAAUUGAAAAAAAAAAAAAAAAAAAAAAGCAUUACCGGAGACGGUCAAGCUUUCAGUCAAAUUGCUAGGGGAAGUCCGAGUAAGCAGCCACUUUACACACUCCUAUUAUUUUUCUCAAGAAAAAUGGCCAAUUAAAGUGCCAAAUUUGACUUCAAGUUAGCUCGAGGAGUUUGCAAAGUUCAAAUGACUAAAUAAAGCACAAACAAAUGAACGAAAACAACAAGCAAAUUGUAAAACUUUUAUUGAAUUAGAAGGAAUGGCUUACAUUCUUGGAGGCGAUAUUUGCUCAAUGAGUGAAGUUGAACAUGAACUACAAAUAGGGACAACUGUAAUAUGUAUAGAAGGUGAAAAGUUUACAAAUACAUCUAGGAAAGCUCUUAUAGUCAAAGAUGAACACUAGAAUUGCAAAACCUAAUCUGACUUGAAUUUCAAAUUCAAAGUUCUAAUCUGAAUCAUCUUGUUGCGAAUGAUCAUCCCAUCUCCAUAUCUUUAGUAUUAAAAUCUGAUGUAUUGCUACCAUUUAACUCUUAAUUGACCAGUAAACGAAGAAUGUAAACACGGAUUGUAGAGGUUUCCCUCUAAUAGACCAUGACCAACAGUCUCACCAUGAAGAGAAAUGGAACAACUUUUAUCCUCAAACUUAAACGAAUAGCUAUAAGCGUCAAGUUUUGAAACGAAAUUAAGUUUCUAGUAAUGUAACAUAAAUUGUAUCAACUAAAUCCAAAUUGAAACCACCCUCCAACACCAAAUGGAGAGUGCUAACAGCUUCAACUGAACCUUUUCUCCAUUUCCCGUGAUAAUGUUACGAUCCCCUUUAUUUAGAUUCUUCCUUGAAAGGAAUCACUGCAAUGAAUUAGUUAUGUAUAGAGUCGUAACAGUAUCAAUCCACCCUGUAUUUGAAGGAGCAUCAAUAAUAUAGGACUCAUAACGAACAUGACUAAAUAAAGUAUUGCAUUUCUUCUCCAACCAUUGUCGAAAUUUUGAGUAUUCUUUCCUCACAUGCCCUUUAGCUCUACAAAAAUAACAUUUAGGACCACCCGAUCCUUUCCAACUAGAAGGACCUGCCUUGUCAAAUCUCAACCUUCUGUCGAGAUCUAAGAUAUAGAUUCUAUAUGUCUAAUUGGAUGUUAAAAAUAUACUAUCCAUAAUAUAUUCUAUUAAAAUGGGCAUAUAUCACUGACCAAAAAAAAAAAAGGCAUAUAUCGAAUAUUACAUAAUAGACCAAAUAAGUCACAUUAAUGGGUUGGACCUCGUCAAGUCCAACAAAAAAUAGUUGUGGAAUAUGAUGUCCUAAUUUUGAUUGUGCUUAGAAAAAUAGCUGGCGCUAAUCCUUUUUAUUUGGCUUUGAAUGAUAGGUUGGCAACAAAUAUGUCUCUCUAGAUUGUAUAGGAGAUGCAGACUCUAGGCAAGUUUUAAGUCACCCCCAUUCUUCAAUUACCCUCCUUAUUUCACAUAAUCACUAGAACUCCUUACAUCGCCUCUCUAAUGGCACAGUUUAUGUUGCAUAAUUUCUUCUAAUAAUUGUUAGGACGCACUUCUCCUUACUAAAUUAGCAUAAAUAAUCUGAUAUGCAAGAAAGUUUCAUUAUUUUGUUUGGUUAAGGAGCUACCCGUUUGCGUUGGCCAACUGCUUGGCUCUGUUCAGAUCAACAUCGAGACAACAUUUUUUAGCUCACGUCAUGAUCUCUAAAAUAUCUUACACGUGCCUAUCAAGUAAGAUUAUAGGAUCAAGGUCGGAUAUGCUUUGGUAUGACUAGUGGUUGUAUGCCGAAAUUAGUUUCGUUUGAACCGUCAUCUUUAAUUGAAACGGGAAAUUUGCACUUUUAUUAGUCUGGUUUUCUUUUUGGCAUGUGAAUGCGUAAGCCAAAUGAAACAGAAAUGUCUCAUUUCUGCGACCAUCCUACGGUUGUGUUCCCCUUUGCUUUGCCAAGAGCCGAGCAGUGGCAAAAGGUACUUGAAUAGCAAGUGUCAUCUUGCAUACAAUAGUAUGAGGCUAUGUAGCACGGACACUCUCCGGAAGCUUUCGUGUCGUAUCCAACACUUCAACACGUCCCGACACGCUCCGACACGCGAGUCCAGAAUUCUGACACGCAAUUCCGACACGCACGGGGUCAAUUUUAAAAAUUUCUAAUACUUGAGAGGUCAAAAUAUAAAUAUACACAAAAGAAGUAAUAAAAUUGCUAUAAAUAUACAUGCACGGGGUCAAUUUUUUUUUUCAGUUUUGUUUUUUUAGAAUUUUUUAUUUUUAAAAAAAGUCUUUUACUAUGAAAGAUGUAAUAAAAAUGCUAUAUAUGAUAAAUAAAUAAAUUUAAAAAUAUCAUUUCAGCAUUUUUCUUUAAACAAUGUUUUUUUCCUCUAAUUUUUUAGUAUUAUUGUAACAAAUUAAAAUAAUGAAUGAUAUUACUUAAUAUUUUUCGUGUAAAUUAAUUAUAUGCUAUUUUUAUUUUUAUUUAUUUAUGUAUUUAUAUAUAUAACGUAUCAGAACGUAUCGAAAUUUUCUAUUUGUAAGAAAUGACGUGUCGGCGUGUCGUGUCCUGUCGCGUGUCGCGUGUCCGUGUCGGUACUACAUAGGUAUGAAGUGCAAUGCAUCUUGGUGUUUAGAAUUGAGAGUUUCAUCUCUUCUCUUUUUUAGAACAGGUUAUCUAUGAACGCUUAUAAUGAAUAAUAGCAUCUAUUUGCCCCUCUUUCUGAAUACUACUGGGUCUCACGUCACUUCUGAACAAUUCACUGGUUGAUCAUGAUUGUCUUUCGUCCAUCUACCCAUUUUUUUGGAUGCUAUUGGAUCUUAUGUCACUCUUGAACAAUUCAAUUUCCUCGUGCCAUAUAUAGUUUGCACAUGUAUCAUUCUUAUGUCACUCUUGAACAAUUCAAUUUUCUUGUCCCAUGUAUAGUUUGCGCAUGUAUGAUGAUGAAUCUACCAUUUCUUUCCACUGGAUAAAUUUCCUUGUGCCAUAUAGUCUUUUUUAGCUAUUGCAUUGGUUUGCACCCUUCCCCAGUUCCUCUUCGAUCAUAGCAAACGCGGGGUUCCCUAGUUUCGACGCUGCCUCAGUUUCUAAAGGAGGGACUACUUUAUACAUUCUUUAUUUUCCGUCUUCGAUUAUGUUCUGUUUAAUGCUAUAUAUUGAUUAAGCGAAGUCAUAUCGUAUGGUAGACCAUUGAUUGCCUUCCUCAUCUUGGAAGAAGUGCAGAAUGGAUGGACAAAGGACCUUGUGCAUGUUCUAAAAGAAACUUCCAAGACUUGCCCAUUAGGUAAACGUUAUCUUAGUGGGGAGCAGUAUCAUUCAAUCUCAAAGUGAAUCGUAGUUUGGUAACUCAUCAGGAUUGGCAUAACUCUUUCAUGCAAGUUAAGUGGAGUUUCUUUUUCUCUACUAGAUCUUCAAGGCCUGGAUCUCACAUCAUCCUCAUGCAAGCUUCGAAACUACUAGAACACAAGGGGUAGCUACGGAUUUUUAAGGCGCUGAAUUCUCGAGUUAAUGAUGAUGAAUGCGUGCUUUUCAUUUGAACUUCUAGUAUCUGAAACGGCACAUGUAGUGUUCCUGGACGCUUUUAUUCAAUCAUUCUACAGGCUUUUGAGCAAGAAAAACAUUAUAGAAUCUCCCUCCUCCCUGUGGACUAAAUUGAGAAUGCGUAAGGCAAUAGGAGAGGAGUGCCAAGGAAACUACGGAGGUGAUACCUUGAUACCCAUCUCCUCUUCUUCGGAUCCGAAAAAUGACAAUUUGAACUACCAAUGACUCAGAAAUCUGCGACAUAGAUGCAUCAAAUGGUUUUGCAAAAUAGGUCGUGGAUUGACAGCUUCAUGACCUCAAUUUGCAAUGCGGUUAAUGAAUAAUUUGUGAGUGAUAGACAUUGAUGUUGGCUCGGAAGACCGAUCAUAACAAAUGCGGGCUUAAUAAUAAUAAAGGGUUUUUCAGAAGAUGGGUGUGUACCUUUACAUAGAAAACUAAGUUAAACUAUUUCACGAAAUCAAUAAUCUCUCGUUAUGGUUAGUAACUUUUAGUCUCAUUCGAAAGUUACUUCAACUUUCAAAUUUCACCACCCAAAUUCCAUGGAGAUGCAAAUAUAAGGGAUAAAUACACUAUCAGUGCCAUAAGUUGUGUACGGCACUCACUUUGGUGCCAAAAGUUUCCGUUGGAUCACUUAAAUGCCAAAUCGAAAAAAAAAAAAAAACUAUCACUUUGGUGCCACCGGCAAGAGAUUCUAGCUAGAUUAAUUAUGUGACUUUUAUAUUUUAAAAAAAAAAAAGUUCCGGUUGCUUUAAAAUGACAUCAUUUUCGGUCCUCCUUAAGAAAACGACGUCAUUUUGCCGUCCUACGUGGAUGGCCUAGAAAAAAAAAACGUCGUUUAACUCAUUUAGGGAUGUUUUAUUUUAUUUUAUUUGGGGAUUGAAAUUAGGGUUUUUCCGACCUAGCUCACUCGGCCGUCGUCGCUUGGCCUCCGCCGUUGCUCGUUCAGCCGCCAUCGCUCGCUUGACCGCCGUUGCUCGGCACUGUUUGGACGCUCUCGACGGCACACGAGGGAGCACCAGCCUCAAUCGAUGGAGCCUAGGUACUAGAAGACGUAGGCUAGACACUCGUCGAGGAGAUCGAAGAUGGAAAGGGAGAGAUCAAUGGUGGCGCACUCGUCGGCGGCCACCCCGAGCAUCAACUAGAUCACGGCCUUCGACUAGGCUGCCAAGUGGCCGUUGUCGAGGUUGGGAUUGGGGUCGGAGCCACGGCCGCCGAGUGGCCAUCUUCGGGGUCGGGGUCAGAGCUACGGCCACCGAGUGGCCAUCAUCAAGGUCGGGGUUGGAGCCGCAGCUGCCAAGUGCGGGGGCCGUCGAGGACAGCAACUGGCCAGAGAUUUAGGGUUUUUAAUUGGGGGAGACACCAAAUGACGUCGUUUUGGUGUUAUGAUGCUAACUGUACUCUUCGGCGAGUCACAUUAGUUUCAAAAAUUAAUAAAAAAGUGCAACGUCGGAUUUCCGGCCAAUCAAAUCGAAGUUGGCACUAAAAUGAUCGUUUUUCAAAUUUUUUAGCACUUAUGAUCCGAUAGAAACUUUUGGCAUCAAAGUGAGCGUUGUACACAACUUAUGGCACUGAUAAUGUACUUAUCCCCAAAUAUAAUUAAGACAAUCAAACCAAUUGACAAUGUGAUAAUAUCCCAAUCCAAAAGUAAGUCAAAGCAAGGAAAAAACAAAAAAACAAAAAGAAAGAUCUUGGAUCACCUUGUGCGGGAUUGAGAAAUCAGGGAAAGAUAUCUCUUGAAGCCCCACUCAUUCAUUUUGUUCUUUAAUCAAAUGAUGGAGAAAAAUUACGGAAUUGGAUCUGCGGAACUCGGUUUACCCAUCUUUUUGAAAAUGGACGCAACGCAUGACUUUUUUUUUUUUUUUUUGAACAGAUCAACGCAUGACUUGAAGGUCUGUAAUUCUCAGCGUGAGAAAGUUGGUUUCACAAAAAAUCAAUAAUUUCAAGAAAAAAUUUCCCUAACUUUAAUCUUUACGUUGUUUAGAAUUUUGAGUUAAUUGGAAAUAUUUAAUUAUCAAACAAAAUGCUUGGCAUAGGUUUUAUUGAUAGUGAAAAUAAUUUUCAUAAACUUAUAUUUCUAAGCGAUGAGAACAAUCGAAAUUAGGAAUGCAUUUUAUGAAUUGUUGAUUUUCGGCAAUUCCUAUUAUUUUACGAAAAAGAACAUUAAUCGUAAUUAUCUUUCAAGGAAGUUUCCUAUGUCGAUUUCAAUUUUUUUUAAUAGAAGGAUUUAUUAUUUAUUCAUUUUCCUUAACGAUCUAAAUGUCAAAAAAUAAAACAAUCGGACAUCCAUGUUUAUAUUGAUUCUGGUAUCUUAUUGGGAGGUUUGCUUAAGGUUGGAUGUUUCUCAUCAUCAUGCAAUUUCGCUUUUUCUUAAUUUCGAAUCGUCACUUUUGGACUUUUUCAUUAUUAACAUGCUUUAAUAGAGCGCCCGUCUUAAGAGAUGUAACAUUAUAAUAAGCAUGAUAAAAACUUUGUUAUGUAUUAGCACGAUAUUUACAAGAAAUGUAUAAGUAAAAGAAAUUUUCACCAUUUUACUAAUAACAAUAACAAAAAUAAUUUCACAUGCCUCCUCUUUUUUCCACCCGGUUUCUUACAUAUGUAUUUUACUAAUUUGCAUCCAUUUUAAAAUAAUGAUAAACGAAAAUAAUUUCCCUCAUCUCCUCUUAUUCCACCACGUUUUCCUCCAUGCCGAUAUUUUCUCCACCCUCUAAGGCUUUUCCACCAAAUAUAUAUAUAUAUAUAUAUAUAUAUAUAUAUAUAUAAUUUCUGAUAUUUAUCGGUUUUUUUUUCCAAUUCGACUAAAAUCUUCGAGAAAUUUAUCUUUGUACAAUAUUUAAUGUUUUCUUUAUUAUUUAUAAUUUUCUCUACUUUCCAAGUAUAAAAUAAAGAAAAUCCGGAAUGGUAAUUUCCAAUUUUUACACCCCGUGACCGCUUUGGCUUCCUUAUAAGGCCAGGAGGCAAAAUUCCCAUCCAAGAAAUCGAUUUUGCUUCUACUUUUUGUUCUUCUUCUCGAUCGAUCGAUUGCCGCCGAUCUUCGUGCCUCCUCGAUCUCCCCCACCAAUGGCUUUAUCCCUCGAACGAGAGUCCGGGAUGUGGAAGGUGUCUUAUACUCCACGAGCAAUUUGGCUACGGUCAGGGUCAUUGUGAGAUCUCCCACGUUGAAUGGUCCAUGGCUUGAGACCGCUCAUGAAUUGGUGGUACGCUUCGAUCUCGUUCAUCAAGGGGAUUUGGAGCAGCAAGUGGUACGCUCGUUCAUCAAAGGGAUUUGAAGUAGCAACUUCAAAAGUAGUCACGCACACCACCUUUUUGCUCGAGACGCUUCCUAUCAUCUGAUGGACGGCGCCACCAGCACUAUCCGCUAAGUACAUAGAUGCAGUGUUUACCGGUGUUUGGUUGUCGUUGAUCCCCAUGGUACCGCUCCCUGUACCAUAGGAAAUUAUCCACGUCUUUGGUCACCCACGAACCCUUGAAUUCCUUCGGCUUGGGUGUAUCCACUUGGUGGACCUUGCACGGUGAUCACCCCGUUAACGCUUCUUGUAAGAUCUCAAGCAACUCGUGUCGAAGCUCUCCCACGCCUGUCUUGAGCUCUUGCACCUCAGCAACAAGCUCCUCCCUUUCGACGUCUAUUUCGUCCACAAGCUGGGUUAGGUUAUCAACCAAUCCUUGGACAUUGGUGACAAACAAGUCUAGCUUCAUCAUCCACAAUGCAAGAUCCCCCAUUGGAUCUCUUGAACUCAAACCACCACGGUUCUUCUUGCCCUUGGUAGCACCCUUCUCGGCGUUCCGCCCACGAUCAACGCAGUCACUGGAUCGUGGAUCAGCCAUUGUGCUUACGCUUAUAAUAAACUUUGGUAUGUCACGUGCCGAUUGAUCCCGAGCCAAUCAAUCCCUCGUAGGCUAAGCCGUGUAGCUUUAGGACUUUACCCCUCACUCAACUCACAAGGAUCGUACAGAGAGAAACUUUAGAGAGAGAAGCUUAGGAUUGUAUUUACUUGUGAAUGAAUGAGAUGAUUACAAUGAGGGGGAGAAGACCCUAUAUAUAUACAAAUAUAAGGCAAAUCAUAUCAGUAAAUCUCUCAUUAUGUAACGGUGGAGAUUGCAUUUCCCUAACUACUAGCUACCCGCACUUAUUACAUACAAAUACAUUUACCGUAUCGCUCAUCCUUAGGAGUAUUCUAGAAUACUCGAAAAAAUCCUAAGUCUCAGGAUACAAACCGAUGGUCGCUUGAUCCACAAAUGUGUCACGACCUUAUAACCCUCUUGGAUCGGCAUUCUUUCGAGCUACAACACAUGUUUCAAGUUAGUCAAAAAUAUUAAACUUCUUUUUCUGAUAAAUUAUUGUUAUCGAAAUUUUUGAAAAUAUCUUGCCUCUUUAAUUUUUUUUCUUUUCAAGUUUAAAAUAAUGAGAGAGAAAAUUUGAAAGAGAUAAAUAUAGGAGAAUAUAUUUGAGAUGCUUACUUUUUAACCAAUUUGUACUUUCAAAUUCAAAUUCAAUCAAAGAAAAAAGUCAGGAGAUAACAAAUCAAUAAACUAAAGUUUAUUGGUUGAGCAUGAGACAUGUGACAGAACCAUGCCCUAUGCUCUUGCCACGUGAUGAUCAUAGAAGUAAAGCGAAAUGCCAUCAACCUAUUUUAUUCAAAGAGAUAAGUAUUAGAGAAUAUAUUUGGAAUACUUUUUUUAACAUUGGUUUUGUUCUUUGAAAUUCAACUCAAUAAGAAGAUAAAAAUAUUGAAGAUAAUAAUUUAUAAAACAAUGUUUAUCAGGUGGUAAUGGCACAGAAACAAAGUGAUUUGCCGGAUGGCGCUCACGGGAGCAAAUACUUUCCUACCUUUAACCAAUUUUUGCCAGAGAUCUUAUACCCCACGGGAUAUGUCAAAGUACAAACACCAAAUUAAAACACAGAAUUCAUACUCUUUUAAAAUGUAUUUCUUCGCUCUCUCUCUCUCUCUUUCUCUCUCAUUGAAUCUCGGGGGAGAGGUAAAGUACCUUUUGCAUGUUCCAGAAGCAAAAUUAACUACCAAUGACUCAGCAAUUUGCGACAUAGAUGCAUGAAUAGUUUGUGGAACGAUGCUUGGUGACCAUAGUUUGCAGUGCCUUUAAUGAAUUAUUUGUAAAUUGAGUUAUAAAUAGACACUAUUGUAUUGGAUUGGAAGACCAAUCAAAGCAAAUGCUGGCUUUGAUAAUAUUAAAAGGAUUUUUGAUAGAUGAGUGUGUCUAAAUAAGUCGAAUCACAAAAUAACAAGUUUUACAUGUAACCUACAUAGAAAACUAAUUUAAACUACUUCAUGAAAUCAAUGAUCUCCCAGUAUGGUUAGUAACUUUUAAUUUUAUCAAAGAGUCAUUUCGACUGUCAAAUUUUACUUCCCAAAUUUUAUAGGAAUGCAAAUAUAAUUUAGAUAAUCUGACCGAUGGACAAUGUCAUAAUAUCCCAAUCCAAAGGAAGUCAAGAUAAGAACAGGAAAACCUUCGGAAAGAUUUUUGAUCACCUUUUUUGGGAAGCUAUGAAGCAAGUGGGUGAAGAAUGAGAAAAUAGGGAAAAUUUCUCUGAGAGCCCCACUCAUUCAUUUUGUUCUUCAACCAAAUGAUGGAGAAAACCCACGGAAUGGGAGUUGAGCAAACUUGGUUUGACAAUCAUUAUGAAAAUGGAUGCCACGCAUGGCUCGAAGAUCUAUAAUUUGUAGAGCGAAGGGCAAGAAAGUUGGUGCUUCCGAAAAAUGAAUAACUUAAAAAAAAUUCUUGAUUUAAUAUUUAUGUAAAUAUUUUGAUUGUUAACAAAAAGAAAAAAUUGUUCAGGAUAGAUUUUAUUGAUGAUGAAAAUAAUUUGUUAUUUAACUUGUUUUUCUAAGGAAUGAGAAAAAACAAAAUUAGGAAAGCAUUUUCUGAAUUGUUGAUUCUUCUUGCCCUUGGCAGCACCCUUCUCGGCGUUCCGCCCACAAUCAACGCAGUCACUGGAUCGUGGAUUAGCCAUUGUGCUUACGCUUAGAAUAAACUUUGGUAUGUCACGGGCCGAUUGAUCCCGGGCCAAUCAAUCCCUCGUAGGCUAAGCCGUGCAGCCUAGGACUUUACCCCUCACUUAACUCAUAAGGAUCAUAGAGAGUUUCCGACUUUACCCCUCACUUAACUCGUAAGGAUCGUAGAGAGAGAAGCUCAGAAUUGUAUUUACUUAUGAAUGAAUGGGUUGAUUACAAUGAGGGGGAGAAGACCCCUAUAUAUAUACAAAUAUAAGGCAAAUCAUAUCCGUAAAUCUCUCAUCGAUCUAACGGUGGAGAUUGCAUUUCCCUAACUACUAGCUAUCCACACUUAUUACAUACAAAUACAUUUACCGUAUCACCCAUCCUCAUGAGUAUUCUAGAAGACUCGAAAAAAUCCUAAGUCUCAAGGAUACAAGCCGAUGAUCGCUUGAUCCACAAAUGUGUCACGGCCUUAUAACCCUCUUGGAUCGGCAUUCUUUCAAGCUACAACACAUGUUUCAAGUUAGUCAAAAAUAUUAAACUUCUUUUUAUGAUAAAUUAUUGUUAUCGAAAUUUUUGAAAAUAUCUUGCCUCUUUAAUUUUUUUUUUCUUUUCGAGUUUAAAAUAAUUCGAGAGAAAAGUUGAAAGAGAUAAAUAUGGGAGAAUAUAUUUGAGAUGCUUACUUUUUAACCAAUUUGUACUUUCAAAUUCAAAUUCAAUCAAAGAAAAAAGUCAGGAGAUAACAAAUCAAUAAACUAAAGUUUAUUGGUUGAGCAUGAGACAUGUGACAGAACCAUGCCCUAUACUCUAGUUGAAAGAGAUAAAUAUGGGAGAAUAUAUUUGAGAUGCUUACUUUUUAACCAAUUUGUACUUUCAAAUUCAAAUUCAAUCAAAAAAAAAAGUCAGGAGAUAACAAAUCAAUAAACGUUUAUUGAUUGAGCAUGAGACAUGUGACAGAACCAUGCCCUAUACUCUUGCCACGUGAUGAUCAUAGAAGUAAAGCGAAAUGCCUUCAACCUAUUUUAUUCAAAGAGAUAAGUAUUAGAGAAUAUAUUUGGAAUACUUUUUUUUUUUUGCAUUUGUUUGUUCUUUGAAAUUCAACUCAAUAAGAAGAUAAAAAUAUUGAAGACAAUAAUUUAUAAAACAAUGUUUAUUAGGUGGUAAUGGCACAGAAACAAAGUGAUUUGCCAUAUGGCGAUCACGGGAGCAAAUACUUUCCUGGCUUUAACCAAUUUUUGCCAGAGAUCUUAUACCCACAGGAUAUGUCAAAGCACAAACACCGAAUUAAAACAUGCAAUUCAUACUAUUUUAAAAUGUUUUUCUUCACUCUCUCUCUCUCUCUCUCUCUCUCUCUCUCUCUCUCUCUCUCUCUCUCUCUCGGGGGAGAGGUAAAGUACCUUUUGCAUGUUCCAAAAGCAAAAUUCCAAGACUUGCACAUAAACAUCUUUCCUAUGGAGUUCAACAUUGAUAGAAGAAAAAUGAGCUUUUUUUUUUUAAUUGUCCUCAAAAGUCCUGCGGUCACAUUAUGCUUUCUCUAAUUCUCUCGUCUUGAUAGGAAGCAAUAUCAUUCAAUCUUAAAAGUGAAUCGUGGUUUGACAACUCAUUAGGAUUUACACACCUCUUUUGUGCAAGUUAAGUGGAGCUUCUUUUUCUAUACUAGAUCUUCAAGGCAUGGAUCGCAUCAUCCUCAUGCGAGCUUUGAAACUACUAGAACACAAGGGGAAGCUGGUGAUGCAUGAAAUGGUUUUGCAAAAUUGUUUGUGGAACGACGCUUGGUGACCAUAGUUUGCAGUGCCUUUAAUGAAUUAUUUGUAAAUUGAGUUAUAAAUAGACACUAUUGUAUUGGAUUGGAAGACCAAUCAAAGCAAAUGCUCGCUUUGAUAAUAUCAAAGGGAUUUUUGAUAGAUGAGUGUGUCUAAACAAGUCGAAUCACAAAAUGACAAGUUUUACAUGUGACCUGCAUAGAAAACUAAUUUAAACUACUUCAUGAAAUCAAUGAUCUCCCAGUAUGAUUAGUAACUUUUAAUCUCAUCCAAAAGUCAUUUCAACCUUUAAAUUUUACUUCCCAAAUUUUAUAGGAAUGCAAAUAUAAUUUAGACAAUCGGACCGAUGGACAAUGUCACAGUAUCCCAUCCAAAGGAAGUCAAGAUAAGAAUAGGAAAACCUAUGAAAAGAUUUUUGAUCACCUUGUUCAGGAAGCCAUGAAGCAUGUGGGUUCUCUGAGAGCCCCACUCAUUCAUUUUGUUCUUCAACCAAAUGAUGGAGAAAACCCGUGGAAUGGGAGUUGAGCAAACUUGGUUUGACAAUCAUUAUGAAAAUGGAUGCCACGCAUGGCUUGAAGAUCUAUAAUUUGCAGAGCGAAAGGCCAGAAAGUUGGUUUUUCCGAAAAAUGAAUUACUUAAAGAAAUUCAUGACUUUAAAUAGUUAUGUAAAUAUUUUGAUUGUUAACAAAAAAAUUGUUCAGGAUAGAUUUGAUUGAUGAUGAAAAUAAUUUUUUAUUUAACUUAUUGUUCUAAGCAUUGAGAACAAUCAAAAUUAGGAAAGCAUUUUCUGAAUUGUUGAUUCCGAUUAUUUUACAAAAAUUGAAAAUUAUUAAAUAGACAAAUUUCCGGGGAAAAUGAUUCAUUUUCUUAUUUUAUUUUUUUCUGAAAGGUUAUGUUUUCUUAUUUUUUAAUAAAACAAUCUAUUGUUUACUCAUUAUCCCUUACCUCCUAUUUUUCCACCAUAUUUACUCCAUUUAUAUUUCAUUCACCACAAUACUUACAAGAAAUACACAAGUAAAAGCACUUUCCACCCUAUUUAAAUUAAACGAAAAUAAUUUCCAUCGCCACCUCUUUGUUAACCUCAUUUUUCUCCGGGCUUAUAUUUUCUCCGCCCUCUAUUAUAAAAUCUCUCUAACACCUUCGAAUUGAAAUUUAAUAAAUAUAUGCUUAUAUUUAUCGGGGGUUUUUCCCCCUAAAUAGACUAAAAUCUUAUAGAAAUUUACCUUUACACCAUAUUUAAUUUUUUUAUUAUUAUUUUCUCACUUUUCCAAGUAGAAAAUCAAGAUACGACCCCAAAAAAAAAAGUAUAAAAUCAAGAAAACCACCCCGCGUGACGUGAACGCGCUUUGGCAUCCUUAUAUAACGAGAAGGCCAGCAGGCAAACUUGAGUCUUGAACAACAAAAAGCUCUCAUCGAUUUCUUCUUCUUCUUCUUCUUCUUCUUCUUCUUCUUCUCUUCUUCUCGAUCGCCGCCGAUCUUCGUGCUUCCGAUUCGAGUGGCCCGAUCGUUGGUUCGUUGCUUUCGCCGUUUUCGCUAAGGUUCGCUUCGCUUCUCUUUCCGACGCGCUCUCUCCGUAUCAGUUUCUAGCGAAGUAGCGACGAGGAAGAAGUUCCCCCCCGGUUACGUUAGGGUUUUCCGUUCUUCUUUCGACGAUGACGAUGACGAUGACGAUCUCCCGCUCGCCGCCGGAGGGUUUUCCAGGAAGUGGUUGCCCGCCGCUGACGACGGCGAGGGCCGUCGGGCUUGCGACGUUUGGUAGUCGUUCGCGGCGAUUGUUAGGGUUUCUUAAUCCCGAAGGAAUCGGGGGUUUUUGUUCCGCCUUGAAGGAGGAUCAUGAAAUUAGGUUUGAUUACUGGAAUUUAUGUUGAAAAGGCUCGGACGAUGCGACGUGGUUGUCGACGUCUACUGUCUCUACUUCCUUUUCUAGAAUUUUAUUCGCUUCUGCUUCUGCUUCUGGGUGAAUUUGAUUUGGUUGGAACCGAAACGAAAGAGAUGGGAAUCAUGAUGGAUGGAUGGAGAUGUUUAUCCAUUCUCUUAUAGGUCGAACAUCGUUCGUAUUGUUGGUGAUAAGAGGAAUUUGAAUGCUUGGGAUUGCUGACUACAGCGGACCUUGGCUUUUCUGCAAAGGGAUCUUCUUGCCAAGAACGAGUUCUGAUGCUUUGAGUUAACUUUGGAUAGGUCGUUCGGUUUGGCGAUUGAUAGCAUGGCUAUUAAGACAGCAAGGAGUACUGUGGGUUGGCAACAAAAUUCAGCUGCUC